UAUAAACAAAACAUCACAUUUAAAAAUUAUUUUAUAUAACUUCAAAAUUGAUGAGUGUGUAAAUGGAAAAUUUGAAAGGUGGGAAACAUAUUUCGAAAAUAGCCCAAAUAUUUAUUUGAAAAAAGCAAAAUCUAGGUUGAUUAAAUUACUACUCCUAUCAAGGAAAGGUGCGAAAUUCGGAGAGAAAGGGCGAAUAUUUAACACGAGAUCCGGCGAGCGGUUGUUCGUCGGAUUUCCACCAUUGCUCAGCAGAUCUACGGCCACGAAGAGAUGAUGAAGGCCUCUUCUACUCUCGUCGCGUCGCUCAUCGCAGCUUCGUCCCUCGCUCUCUCCUCCUCCGUUUCCGCCGCCUCCCCUGCCCCUGCCAUUACAACCGCCGACCGGGUAAAAUCCAUGGAGAAGGGAAGCAAUGCUCCAAAAUUCGACGGUUUGAGGUUCAUAGAGACCUUGGUGACGGCCCAUAGAUGAAUCUGUUGUUGAAAUUGUGUUUAUGGUGUGUGUUUGAGUAUGUCAUUCUAUACGGAUUGUAGGUACUUCCAAUUUGAUUGAGAUUUACUCAUGGAUGAUAGUUUUCCAAUGUA